rnacentral:rRNA from 1 species
AAUAUUGCGCAAUGGAGGGAACUCUGACGCAGCGACGCCGCGUGAGCGAUGAAGGUUUUCGGAUCGUAAAGCUCUGUCCUUGGGGAAGAAGGCGGCCAUUUAUGGUCACUUGACGGUACCCAAGGAGGAAGCCCCGGCUAACUACGUGCCAGCAGCCGCGGUAAUACGUAGGGGGCAAGCGUUGUCCGGAAUUAUUGGGCGUAAAGGGUUCGCAGGCGGCCUUUUAAGUCAGAUGUGAAAGCCCACGGCUCAACCGUGGCAAGCAUUUGAAACUGAAAGGCUUGAGUUAAGGAGAGGAAAGUGGAAUUCCUAGUGUAGCGGUGAAAUGCGUAGAUAUUAGGAGGAAUACCAGUGGCGAAGGCGACUUUCUGGACUUAUACUGACGCUGAGGAACGAAAGCGUGGGGAGCAAACA